rnacentral:rRNA from 1 species
AGAGUGAACGCUGGCGGCAGGCCUAAUACAUGCAAGUCGAACGGCAGCACGGCAGAGCUUGCUCUGUGGGUGGCGAGUGGCGGACGGGUGAGGAAUACAUGGGAAUCUGCCCAGUCGUGGGGGAUAACGUAGGGAAACUUACGCUAAUACCGCAUGCGCCCUUCGGGGGAAAGCCGGGGACCUUCGGGCCUGGCGCGAUUGGAUGAGCCCAUGUCGGAUUAGCUAGUUGGCGGGGUAACGGCCCACCAAGGCGACGAUCCGUAGCUGGUCUGAGAGGAUGAUCAGCCACACUGGAACUGAGACACGGUCCAGACUCCUACGGGGGGCAGCAGUAGGGAAUAUUGGACAAUGGGCGCAAGCCUGAUCCAGCCAUGCCGCGUGAGUGAAGAAGGCCUUGGUGUAAAGCUCUUUGUACCGGAAAGUAAAGCUUCGGUCAAGUACCCCGGAGUCCUGACGGUAACCGGAAGAAUAAGCACCGGCUAACGUUCGUAGCCAGUAGCCGACGUAA